AUUGAACGCUAGCGGGAUGCCUUACACAUGCAAGUCGAACGGAGUGGCGAACGGGUGAGUAAUGUCUCGGCACGUUCCCAGUAGCGGGGGAUCACUACGCGACAGCGUAGCUAAUCCCGCAUACUAUUGGAGCGGCCGCUAUCGGAUUAGCUCGUUGGUGGGGUAACGGCUCACCAAGGCGACGAUCCGUAGCUGGUUUGAGAGGACGACCAGCCACACUGGGACUGAGACACGGCCCAGACUCCUACGGGAGGCAGCAGUGGGGAAUUUUGGACAAUGGGGGAAACCCUGAUCCAGCCAUCCCGCGUGUGCGAUGAAGGCCUUCGGGUUGUAAAGCACGUUUGGCAGGAAAGCGGUACCUGCAGAAUAAGCACCGGCUAACUACGUGCCAGCAGCCGCGGUAAUUC
rnacentral:rRNA from 1 species